AGUGGGAUAGCUGGGUCAAAUGGUGGUUCCAUUCCAAGUUUUUGAGAAAUAUCCAUACUGCUUUCCAGAGUGGCUGUACCAAUUUGCAGUUCCAUCAGCAAU
rnacentral:pre_miRNA from 1 species